rnacentral:rRNA from 1 species
GAUGGACGCUGGCGGCGUGCCUAAUACAUGCAAGUCGAGCGAACUGAUUAGAAGCUUGCUUCUAUGACGUUAGCGGCGGACGGGUGAGUAACACGUGGGCAACCUGCCUGUAAGACUGGGAUAACUUCGGGAAACCGAAGCUAAUACCGGAUAGGAUCUUCUCCUUCAUGGGAGAUGAUUGAAAGAUGGUUUCGGCUAUCACUUACAGAUGGGCCCGCGGUGCAUUAGCUAGUUGGUGAGGUAACGGCUCACCAAGGCAACGAUGCAUAGCCGACCUGAGAGGGUGAUCGGCCACACUGGGACUGAGACACGGCCCAGACUCCUACGGGAGGCAGCAGUAGGGAAUCUUCCGCAAUGGACGAAAGUCUGACGGAGCAACGCCGCGUGAGUGAUGAAGGCUUUCGGGUCGUAAAACUCUGUUGUUAGGGAAGAACAAGUACAAGAGUAACUGCUUGUACCUUGACGGUACCUAACCAGAAAGCCACGGCUAACUACGUGCCAGCAGCCGCAGUAAGAC